rnacentral:rRNA from 1 species
UACAGAGGGUGCGAGCGUUGUCCGGAAUCACUGGGCGUAAAGGGCGCGUAGGUGGCGGCCCAAGUCCAUGGUGAAAGCUCGAUGCUCAACAUCGAGUCGGCCACGGAUACUGGGUUGCUCGAGCACUGUAGGGGCAGAUGGAAUUCCGGGUGUAGCGGUGGAAUGCGUAGAGAUCCGGAAGAACACCGGUGGCGAAGGCGGUCUGCUGGGCAGUUGCUGACACUGAGGCGCAACAGCGUGGGGAGCAAACAGG